rnacentral:rRNA from 1 species
AUGAAGUCCCGGAGCUCCGCGAGGGGCGAGCCGAGGAGGUUCGGGAAUGUGGCUCUCCUGGCCCUCAUGCUCUGCUCCCUCGUCGCGCUCUCGCUCAUCCGGGCCAGGUUCUCCCCAAUCGGUAAUACGGCCGUUGCGGAGACCAUCAAAGUGGAGGAUCCGAAGCCCGUGGUGGUGAGCAAGCCGGCUGCCACGGCGGAGGCCGACGAGGCCGCCGCAGUAGCCGUGGAGGAAGACAAGGAGGAGGAAGCUCAGCCCAAGGAUGAGGAAAUUCAGCCCAAGACCGAGCAGGCCUUAGACGCCGCGGUGGCCGUUGAUGCCAGCAAGCCGAUGUGCUACGAGACGAGCCGGCGCUCCGACACCUGCGAGGCGGCCGGCGACGUGCGCCUGCUGGGGAGAAGCCAGACCAUCUACGUCGACACGCUGGAGCGGGAGUGGAAGACCAGGCCCUACUGCCGGAAGCACGACACGUACGCGCUGUCCCACGUCAAGGAGUGGUCCCUGAAGCCGUUCCCCUCCGGCGACGGCGCGGCGCCCAAGUGCACGUCCAACAGCUCGGCCACCGCCUUCGUGAUCUCGACGGGCGGGUUCACCGGCAACCCCUUCCACGACUACACGGACGUGCUCAUCCCGGCCUUCAUCACGGCCCACCGCUUCGCCGGCGAGGUCCAGUUCCUGGUGAGCAGCUACAAGUCGUGGUGGAUAAGCAGGUACAUCCAGAUCUUCCAGCAGAUGAGCCGGUACGAGGUGGUGGACAUCGACGCGGACGACGAGGUCCGGUGCUACCCGAGCGCCGUGGUCGGGCCGACGUUCCACAAGGAGCUGGGCGUGGAUCCCUCCAAGGCGCCUUCGGGCGUCUCGGUGGCGGACUUCCGCAAGAUGCUGCGCAGCGCGUUCGGGCUGGAGCGCGCCACGGCGACGCCGAGCGGCGACCGGUGGGACAUCCGCCGCCGGCCCCGGCUGCUGAUCAUCUCCCGGCGCACCUCACGCGGGCGGGCCUUCAUGAACGAGCGCGCCAUGGCGGACAUGGCGGGGAGCCUCGGGUUCGACGUCCGCAUCGGGGACCCGGACACGACCUCCGACACGUCCAAGUUCGCGCGGCUGGUGAACUCGUGCGACGUGAUGGUGGGCGUGCACGGCGCCGGGCUGACGAACAUGGUGUUCCUGCCGGCCGGCGCCGUGCUGGUGCAGGUGGUGCCGUACGGGCGGCUGGAGUGGCUGGCCCGCAACACGUUCGCGGAGCCGUCGGCGGGGAUGGAGGUGCACUACCUGGAGUACGUGGUGCAGCUGGACGAGACGACGCUGAGCGAGCAGUACCCCAGCGACCACCUGGUGCUCAAGGACCCCAUGGCCAUCCACAAGCAGGGGUGGGACGCGCUCAAGACCACCUACCUCGACAAGCAGAACGUCCGGCCGCACCUCGGCCGCCUCAAGAAGACCUUCCUCCAGGCGCUCAAGAUGCUGCCGCACGGCCGGGACGAUUAG